rnacentral:rRNA from 1 species
AUUGAACGCUGGCGGCAUGCCUUACACAUGCAAGUCGAACGGUAACAGGUCUUCGGACGCUGACGAGUGGCGAACGGGUGAGUAAUACAUCGGAACGUGCCCAGUCGUGGGGGAUAACUACUCGAAAGAGUAGCUAAUACCGCAUACGAUCUGAGGAUGAAAGCGGGGGACCUUCGGGCCUCGCGCGAUUGGAGCGGCCGGUGGCAGAUUAGGUAGUUGGUGGGAUAAAAGCUUACCAAGCCGACGAUCUGUAGCUGGUCUGAGAGGACGACCAGCCACACUGGGACUGAGACACGGCCCAGACUCCUACGGGAGGCAGCAGUGGGGAAUUUUGGACAAUGGGUGAAAGCCUGAUCCAGCAAUGCCGCGUGCAGGAUGAAGGCCUUCGGGUUGUAAACUGCUUUUGUACGGAACGAAAAAGCUCCUUCUAAUACAGGGGGCCCAUGACGGUACCGUAAGAAUAAGCACCGGCUAACUACGUGCCAGCCGCCGCAGUAAGAC